GAGUAGUAGCGAUGUCGGUUUACUCAUUUUCCCCCAACUUCUCGGCCAGCAGUGCAUUGUAUUCAUCUCUCAGGCUGUUAUAUUUCUCACUCAAGACCUUGAACGCUUCCAUUUUCUCCUCGGGUAUUUCCUUCUUUCUCUUCUCCAAACGGAGCUUCACUGAUUCAAUUUGUCUCUUCAGCUCUUGAAUCUUCAUCGUCUUCUCCUCAUGCUGUUUCUGCAGCAUUUCCAACUCCGAUGCCUUACUGUUUGCUGCAUUACCAGAGAGUUAUAUGCCUUUGGGAUCAUCAAAUAUCAAACAGUAUAAACAGUAAGUCAUUGUACUGUACAACCAUUACUUUUCUAGGUAUAAACAAGGGAUGGGAAACAUAGAAUUCUAGGGUUAUAUAUACCUUGAGGAAUGAGUGAGCUGCCACCCUCCAUGACUUCGGAUUCCUGGAAGAAAAAAAUCGUCUCAAAUUAGCGGUUUCGUAAUAGUAGAGAAGAUAAACCAUUAAGCAUAUAUCCAUGCAUUCAACCUUCUAAUCUUAAUUUCCCUUAAAUUUUUUUGACUGCCAAACAUCUCUCAUACAAUGCUAGCUGCUUAUACAUCGCUACAUUACACCAAGUUUCCCUCACUUACUUUCUAUUUUCCUUCUUUUUCACAGAAAUCCCUUGUAGAAAAUAACUGCACACCUACGAAAGAUCUGCAGUAGUAGUUCCAAAAGUGCCAAGAACCUGAUCCAGGACCUGUUUACAGGUCAACAGAAUAGGUUGAUUUGGAAUGCUUAA
rnacentral:lncRNA from 1 species